GCAUAUCAAAAAGCGGAGGAAAAGAAACCAACCGGGAUUGCCUUAGUAACGGCGAGUGAAGCGGCAAAAGCUCAAAUUUGAAAUCUGGUACCUUCGGUGCCCGAGUUGUAAUUUGGAGAGGGCAACUUUGGGGCCGUUCCUUGUCUAUGUUCCUUGGAACAGGACGUCAUAGAGGGUGAGAAUCCCGUGUGGCGAGGAGUGCGGUUCUUUGUAAAGUGCCUUCGAAGAGUCGAGUUGUUUGGGAAUGCAGCUCUAAGUGGGUGGUAAAUUCCAUCUAAAGCUAAAUAUUGGCGAGAGACCGAUAGCGAACAAGUACAGUGAUGGAAAGAUGAAAAGAACUUUGAAAAGAGAGUGAAAAAGUACGUGAAAUUGUUGAAAGGGAAGGGCAUUUGAUCAGACAUGGUGUUUUGUGCCCUCUGCUCCUUGUGGGUAGGGGAAUCUCGCAUUUCACUGGGCCAGCAUCAGUUUUGGUGGCAGGAUAAAUCCAUAGGAAUGUAGCUUGCCUCGGUAAGUAUUAUAGCCUGUGGGAAUACUGCCAGCUGGGACUGAGGACUGCGACGUAAGUCAAGGAUGCUGGCAUAAUGGUUAUAUGCCGCCCGUCUUGAAACACGGACCA
rnacentral:rRNA from 1 species